AAAUAAGGAGACUCAUAUUAUAUUUCUUAGAUUGCCCCUCGCUCUCCAUAUAUCCUUCUGAUAAACCACUUUAAUAACUCUCUCACAUUUUGCCACCCUAAAUUACCUUGAGAUUCACCUUACCCUUGGUGUUGUCCCACUAAUGGAAUAAGCAGUGGACAUAGGAGCUGAAAUGAAGACAAAGCGGUCCACAGGGAGAUUGCGAGACAAACUCCAAAGCCUCUUGGGCAUCGUGGUCAAGCUGGACUGUUCUGCAGUGGGGGAGGGAGAAAGAAGUGGCUAUGCUCUAAAUAUGCCAAAGAGUCAGAGCUAACCCAUGCUAUGCAGGACAGUACCUUCUGUACGUUCAACUCCAGUGAAUUUACUGCAGCCAUUGACAUCAGGCCCACAGAUCUGUUGUGAUUGUCGGACAACAGACAAUGGGAGAAGUUGUUCAGGGUUCCCAGUGGACUCAGGUUGACAAUGAAACCCCACUAAGAGAACUGAAGACUACACUCCCAGAAUAGCAAAUGAAAAUUCAUCAGCUGAGCAAUGGAAAGCUGGAAAUGAGCAGAUGUAGAUUUGUCUUAUUGUUUACGCUUUGAGUUAACUUGGCCCAAAAAAACCCUAAUUUUCCAGAAGACCUGAUCCUUAUAUAUACAGCAAGGAUAUGAUGACAUCUCUUCCAUGGGUAAUGUGUAUGUUUAUGUGCAGGUGCCUGUAGUCAUAAACAUAAAGCCAUUUAAGAUCAUUUGAAGUUUAAAGAGGCAAAACUACCCUGAUGGAAGGCCUUUUUGUGGAAGUGAGAGAUGAGAGAAAGACAUAAGGCAGUUGUGUGUGGGCGUGGUGGCUUUGGCCAGUACAGGGGGUGGAGAAGGAUGAAAUUAUAAAAGGUUAUAUCCUAUUUUUAGGAAGUUGUUACUUGUCGUUUACAUUUCAUAAUAGAUCUAUUUGGGCUUGAAAGCGUUUUUGACACAUUGUGUAAAAAAAAUAAAAUAAGAGACCAAAUGGAUUUUCUUCUUGUUUUAAGCUGGUCACUUUUGGUCUUUCAUUAAAGCCCAAAAUAAAAAGUU